UACGUAGGGUGCAAGCGUUAAUCGGAAUUACUGGGCGUAAAGCGUGCGCAGGCGGUUGUGCAAGACCGAUGUGAAAGCCCCGGGCUCAACCUGGGAAUUGCGAUGGAGACUGCAAGGCUGGAGUCUGGCAGAGGGGGGUAGAAUUCCACGUGUAGCAGUGAAAUGCGUAGAGAUGUGGAGGAACACCGAUGGCGAAGGCAGCCCCCUGGGUCAAGACUGACGCUCAUGCACGAAAGCGUGGGGAGCAAACAGG
rnacentral:rRNA from 1 species